rnacentral:lncRNA from 10 species
UUUUCAGAGACAUGUCCAGUCUCUCUGUGAGUUUCUUUGGAUCUCAUCUCUGGCAUUUUCCUGCUAAAAUCCAACCUUUCUACCCUUGCCUGACUGACUCUACUCUAAGGCUUUUGAUCUAGAAGAAUAGGUAUCUGAGGAUAGAGCAGUGAACCAAAGAGACAAAAGUCCCUGCCUCUAUGGAGCUACAUUCCAGUUGACUGCUAUAAUGAUGGCUCUCCAGAAUUGUUGUGGUCUGCUUUCAAGUUCUGAGCCUAGCUGCAUGCCAGAAUCACACCAUCUGAGGCUUAAUGAAUCAGCAUCUCCAAGCAUUUUGUAGAUUGGCAAAAGUGCCGCUAUCAAAGACAGGUAGAAUGACUCCUGUCUCUAGCUGCUUUCCUGGCACUUGAGCUAUGCAGUGAUAAUACAAGUUGGGAGGACUCAACAGAAGCCAGGCCACGUUCUAGAUAUGGAG